rnacentral:rRNA from 1 species
AACGUAGGACGCAAGCGUUAUCCGGAGUUACUGGGCGUAAAGAGCGUGUAGGCGGCCAGGUAGGUCUGCUGUGAAAACUCGAGGCUCAACCUCGAGACGUCGGCGGAAACCAUCUGGCUAGAGUCCGGAAGAGGCGAGUGGAACUCCUGGUGUAGCGGUGGAAUGCGCAGAUAUCAGGAAGAACACCAACGGCGAAGGCAGCUCGCUGGGACGGUACUGACGCUGAGACGCGAAAGCGUGGGGAGCGAACAGG